rnacentral:rRNA from 1 species
GGGUCCUGAAGGAACGUUGAAGACUACGACGUUGAUAGGUCGGGUGUGUAAGCGCAGCGAUGCGUUGAGCUAACCGAUACUAAUGAACCGUGAGGCUUAACCUU